rnacentral:rRNA from 1 species
AGAACGAACGCUGGCGGCAUGCCUAACACAUGCAAGUCGAACGAGACCUUCGGGUCUAGUGGCGCACGGGUGCGUAACGCGUGGGAAUCUGCCCUUGGGUUCGGGAUAACAGUUGGAAACGACUGCUAAUACCGGAUGAUGACUUCGGUCCAAAGAUUUAUCGCCCAGGGAUGAGCCCGCGUAGGAUUAGCUAGUUGGUGAGGUAAAGGCUCACCAAGGCGACGAUCCUUAGCUGGUCUGAGAGGAUGAUCAGCCACACUGGGACUGAGACACGGCCCAGACUCCGUACGGGAGGCAGGCAGGUGGGGAAUA